CUAAUACCGCAUACGUCCUACGGGGGAAAGCAGGGGACCUUCGGGCCUUGCGCUAUCAGAUGAGCCUAGGUCGGAUUAGCUAGUUGGUGGGGUAAUGGCUCACCAAGGCUAGGAUCCGUAACUGGUCUGAGAGGGUGAUCAGUCACACUGGGAGUGAGACACGGUCCAGCCUCCUACGGGAGGCAGCAGUGGGGAAUAUUGGUCAAUGGGCGAAAGCCGGAUCCAAAGAGGCCGCGUGUGUGAAGAAGGUCUUCG
rnacentral:rRNA from 1 species